AUGCUUCUUCCAAACGCAACCUCUCUGAUGACUUCAGUGAUAGCUCCGCCACCGUUCCGUCCUUCCUCUUUGUUUGUCUCAGAGCCGCAGCGCCACCGUCUCAAACUCAUCUCUCCGCUUAAACUCAACCUUCUCUAUUUCACUACCGGAGCUCUGGUGGCUCCUCACAGUGACGAUUACGCAAGAAAUCCUGUUGAUGAAGGUUACAGUGAAGCAUUAAAACUGGUGAAUGUUGUAUUGUUGCUGAAGCGGAUGCCACGAAGAUGA